ensembl:lncRNA
CGUGAUAACUCCACAGCCAGUGAUAAUCCUUAAGAGUCUCAUAUGAGUCGUGAUAACUCCACAGCCAGUGAUAAUCCUUAAGAGUCUCAUAUGAGUCUCGUGAUAACUCCACAGCCGGUGGUAAUCCUUAAGAGUCUCAUACGAGUCGUGAUAACUCCACAGCCAGUGAUAAUCCUUAAGAGUCUCAUAUGAGUCUCGUGAUAACUCCACAGCCGGUGGUAAUCCUUAAGAGUCUCAUAUGAGUCGUGAUAACUCCACAGCCGGUGGUAAUCCUGAAGAGUCUCAUACGAGUCGUGAUAACUCCACAGCCAGUGAUAAUCCUUAAGAGUCUCAUAUGAGUCGUGAUAACUCCACAGCCAGUGAUAAUCCUUAAGAGUCUCAUAUGAGUCGUGAUAACUCCACAGCCAGUGAUAAUCCUUAAGAGUCUGAUAUGAGUCGUGAUAACUCCACAGCCAGUGAUAAUCCUUAAGAGUCUGAUAUGAGUCGUGAUAACUC